CUGCGAGUUCGCGGGAGAGUAGGUUAUUGCCAGGGUUUUUAUUUUAUACUUUAAGUUUUGAUUUUAUUUUUACGUUAUUUAAAUAUUGGUGUUUUUAAAUGUGUUAUUUAAAUAACAUAAAAAAUAAAAUAUAUGUUGACAUGUAAAUUGGCAAAAUAGAGAUGGAAGAUAAAAAUAUGGUCAAAGUAAUAAGAGUCUAUGGUGAAUGCCUAGGA
rnacentral:misc_RNA from 1 species